CUAAUCUCCGUCCGUCGCUGCCUAUCAGCGAUCGGGUUUAGUCGCCCGGAUU
rnacentral:ncRNA from 1 species